AGCAUAUCACCACUAUCAUGCAUACACCGUGCUGUAGGUGAACCGUAGUUGUAUCAGCUGUAUUGUAUAACAUUAUAAUAUUGUACCUAUGAUGGACGCACAGAUAUCGAAUAAGACAGCCUUGAGUAGUACACUGUGCACAAUGCCGCUGUGUCUGCGGACAAAAUAUAUAACAAACCGACUGGGACUUACAAAGGAAAACGGAAGUAGAGUGUUAAAACAAUGGCUUUCCGAACGGCCAGCAGAAAACUUUAUCGUCCCGAGGUCGUGGAUCGCCAGAAGACCUUCUCGUUUUUUUGUGAUUUUUUAUACGAUUAUAAAACUCACACAGCACCAAAAGUUAGCGACGGUACGGCCAAAAAGAGGAUUAGUCAAACCGCAAUAUUAAUUACUAAUAAUAGUAGGUUGUAAUAGAGAAACUCUACAGCUCUCUAGGAUCUAGGUUGAAACAAUCGCGUUACGACGCUUACAACAACACAAACAAACCACACCACAAUAACAACAAGUACCCUACCUACCGAUUAAACGGAUCAUGGAAUCGAAUCCACUGCUGGGAUCCAAGGUCAGCUACCGUGGUACGAAUUUAUACUUAAUUUUGUUUUUACCAUCUUAAAAAAUGCAAGAUGUAUAUUAUGUAUGUUUAUGAUAAUUGAGUCAACUAUUCUACGCACACAAAUCGAAUCUGUUCAAAUAUAAUAUUAUUUCAUAUAUUUGUUUACUUGAAAACGACAGAAGAAGAUGUCUGUAACUUUAGAUGUAAAAUCUAAACCGCCCUAUUUUGAUAGAAAUAGUCCAAUUUUGGAAAUGUACAGAAAAUAAUAUUAUAAGCCAAAGUCAUCAGUUUUUGUCUUCCAACUCUCGUGGAAAAAUUGUAGUUCUGUUG